UUAAAAGUAGUAAAAAAAAACAAUCAAUAUAAAAUCUUUAAAAUCUUUCAAUCUACUCUGGAAGCAGACAUGUACACCUGCCAACGAGACUAUCUUUUAUAGAGUGAUAUGGUUGUGAUUUCCCAAACUUUCUCGAAUACAAGAACGUGGCCAAAUUUAAACUACACUUUUCGAUGUGCAAGGUGUAUCUCUGGUGCCAUCUGCUGGAAAUGCCUGGUGCUACAUAGGACCUCUGCCUCCUGCUGAAGCAGCUCAGUAAAUUGGGUCAUGGAAGUAUUUCUUACUGAAGUAACUCCUAUCCAUGCUGAAGCUCAUCAGUUUUUUUAGAGAAUGCCAGCUAAGUGCCUGCUAGGAACAUUCAGGAAUGUGCAGGAGGGGAUUGAAAAUGACUUAAAAGGUUGCUCGAAUUCUGUCUUCUAGGACCCAUGCUAGGUAGACUCGAUGAGCUGAUCACAGAAGUGCCUGCUCUCAUUGGAGUGAUAGGAGCAGUUGCAGAGGUUGGAGGUUGAG